GAUGAACGCUGACAGAAUGCUUAACACAUGCAAGUCUACUUGAUUCUACUUCGGUAGUUGAUGGUGGCGGACGGGUGAGUAACGCGUAAAGAAUCUGCCCUUUAGUUUGGGAUAACCUUUGGAAACGAGGGCUAAUACCGAAUAUUAUGGAGAUGUCGCAUGACGACUUCAUGAAAGCUAUAUGCGCUAGAGGAGGACUUUGCGUCCCAUUAGUUAGUUGGUGAGGUAAUGGCUCACCAAGACCGCGAUGGGUAGCCGGCCUGAGAGGGUGAUCGGCCACAAGGGAACUGAGACACGGUCCUUACUCCUACGGGAGGCAGCAGUGGGGAAUAUUGGACAAUGGACCACAUGCCUGAUCCAGCAAUUCUGUGUGCACGAUGAAGGUCUUCGGAUUGUAAAGUGCUUUCAGUAGGGAAGAAAAAAAUGACGGUACCUACAGAAGAAGCGACGGCUAAAUAUGUGCCAGCAGCCGCGGUAAUAC
rnacentral:rRNA from 1 species